rnacentral:misc_RNA from 1 species
GUGAACGCCCUCACGGGCUUAUACUAUUCCAAACCUCUGUGAACCGUGCCCUUCGGGGCUAUUUUACAAACAUGGUGUAAUGAACGUCAUAUAUCAUAACAAAUAC